rnacentral:lncRNA from 1 species
AAAUACAAUUGCAUGUAAACAGUGGCGCCGAGACGGGGAAGAAGAGGAGACAAAUUCCCUGGGCCUAUAGAAGAUUGAAGGGCCCGGGCCGCUUCCUAACAAUAAGAAUUUUUUGUAUUUUUUUUUUUUUUUAAAUUAAGUAACUGCACAUUACAAGAUAUAUAGAAUUAAAAUUGUAUUAUAAAAAUCUAAGAGAAGAAACUGACAGACCGACAGGGCCCACAACAUAUUUUGUAAAGGAAUGAGAUGUAUACAGUGGAAUACGGUUAUAGUGAAACGAUUAAAACCGGAAAAUGUUGAACAACCUACGUGUAAAAUAUAUGUUAUAUGUAUGAUUUUUAAGAUCUUACAGAGGAAAAAAUAUAUAUAUUUAUAUAUAGGGGCUCCAAAGCCUUGUUCGUACCGGAGCCCAGGAUUUCUCUCGGCGCCACUGCAUAUGAACAUAAAAAAGCCAAGUUAGAUUUAAAGAAAAUAACUUUUAUUAAUUGUAAAUUAUCAAAAAUUUUUCCAGUUA